rnacentral:lncRNA from 1 species
GGAGCUAUAGACUGGAGCUGUUCCUAUUUGGCCAUCUUGGAACCUCCUCUGAAACUGCAUUUUUAAUAAUGUCUCUAGGAGAUUCUGAUGUAGGGGUUUCUGGGAGCCGGUUAUAUGAAAGACUUCCAAAAUGUUUUGUAAAAAAAAUAGUAGUUUUAGUAUACAUAUGUAACUAACCUGCACAAUGUGCACAUGUACCCUAAAACUUAAAGUAUAAUAAAAAAAAAUAGUAGUUUUGUCCAGUAAAUUGUCCCCCAGAAGUAAAUUUAGACCUAGAGACCUAGAUUUAAUUAUCUCUGUUUACUUUACUAGUUCUCGAAUUUUCCAGGGGCCAUAUCAUUGAGCCAGAAUUUCCUUUUUGCCUCACACUAAACAUACGAAGCCAGGCCCUGGAGGGAUCUGUGAGCUGUUUAGCUUUCCAAGCUCUGGAUAAUAAUUUAGUUUACCCAGCUGUAAAAUGGGCAAAAGUAAUACACAUAUUAUUGUUUAAUGGAUGGAUUAUAUAUUUAUGCUUUGAGCUCUGAAGGAGUUGAUACUACCCUGAGAGGUUUUUUUUUUCUUUUCAUUUUUAUAAUACUUCCCAACCAUGAUGUAAAUAUUCAUAAAAACCUAGGGAGUAUAGUUGUCAUGACUAAUUUGAUAAUGAAGGAAUUGUUAGCUAGAAGCGUUUCCUCCAUCCUGUAGCUGCACAAAGCAGAGACUCUUGUGUAGCAAAAUUAACAUGACAUAUGGUGUUUCCAACAACAGAGUCUCAUGAGAUACUUCGAGUUCAGAGGUUGUUAUAGUCUAAGAAAGAAACCUGCAACUUGGAAAAGUCUAAUUCUGAUUGGUUGUUUAACUUAACAAUUUGUUAUCUUGGUGAUAAUAAAGUGACAUAUCUUUAUAAAAGGUACAUAUAUUUGUGAUAUCAUAAAUGGUAUAAAUACCAUCCUUAUACCCAGUUAGAAGGUGCCUUUGGCCCCGUGCUUUAGAGGGUCCCAUAUAUCACAGAUACAAACAUGUAAAAUUUUGAAAGAACAAAUAGCACCUCUGUUACUCAGAAUCCAGUGCUUAAUUCUGGUAGAAUUGGACUUGAAACCCUAAACAUCCAGCCCAGGGAAAAGUUGCCUAUCUUCCCUUCUUUGCUCACAAUGAAUGGAGAUUAUAUCAUGCAUGUUUGUGCAUUGUGAGGGAGCUGAUUUUUAGAGACAGAUUCUGCUUUGGAGUUCAGAGAGGAUUGUAGCAAUAAAGAUCAGAGAAAAGGCAAAUUCAGCAAACUGCUCAAAGACUGUCUUUCACCAGAAUGCAAUAGAUUCUUAUGUAAUGAAUAAUUAUUUUUCCAGUACAGUAGGACCUAUUGUCCAUUUUCUUGCUUUUCUUUUUGUUCUAAUUCCUGGCUCAAAAAGUACUCAUGAAUUAGCAGUAUUUGCAACAGUUGCACAUGGUGACUGAAUAACAUUCUGCAUCAUUAAGAAAUUCAUACUAUUCUUUUUUUUCUUUUUGACAGAGUCUCGCUCUGUAGCCAGGCUGGAGUGCAGUGGCACAAUCUCGGCUCACUGCAACCUUCACCUCCUGGGUUCAAGAAAUUCACCUGCCUCAGCCUCCCGAAUAGUUGGGACUGCAGAGGAAAGGCCAUGUGAAGAUAAAGAAAAGGCUGCCAUCUCCAGGUCAGGAAGAGAGGUCUCACCAGAAACCAACUUGGACUUCUAGCAUCUAGAACUGUGAGAAAAUAGAUUUCUGUUGCUUAAGCCACCUAGUCUGUGAUUUUUCAUUAUGGCAGCCAAUGUAGACUAAUACAAUAAUAAAUAAAUUAGACAAUA